rnacentral:rRNA from 1 species
UAACGAAUCUUCCGCAAUGGGCGCAAGCCUGACGGAGCAAUGCCGCGUGUGGGAUGAAGCGUCUCUGACGUGUAAACCACUGUCAGGGGUUAGAAACAAUGAUCAACCCCAAAGGAAGUGGCGACUAACUCUGUGCCAGCAGUCGCGGUAAUACAGAGGCCACAAGCGUUAGUCGGAAUCACUGGGCUUAAAGGGCGCGUAGGCGGCAAUUCAAGUCAUCUGUGAAAUCUCCGGGCUUAACUCGGAACGGUCAGAUGAUACUGCUUUGCUAGAGUGCAGAAGGGGCAAUCGGAAUUCUUGGUGUAGCGGUGAAAUGCGUAGAUAUCAAGAGGAACACCUGAGGUGAAGACGGGUUGCUGGGCUGACACUGACGCUGAGGCGCGAAAGCCAGGGGAGCAAACGGGAUUAGAUACCCCCGUAGUCCCUGAGCGGGCUGGCAAGGCGCAU